AGUUGAGCGCUUGAGGGGGCAACCCCAAGAGAGCAGCGAACGGGUGAGUAACGCGUGGGUGAUCUUCCUUCGAGUGGGGAACAACAUCGGGAAACUGGUGCUAAUUCCGCAUAACACCCUGGGGCUACGAGCCUCAGGAUCAAAGCCGGGGACCGCAAGGCCUGGCGCUUGAAGAUGAGCCCGCGUCCGAUUAGCUAGUUGGCGGGGUAAUGGCCCACCAAGGCUUCGAUCGGUAGCCGGCCUGAGAGGGCGGACGGCCACACUGGAACUGAGACACGGUCCAGACUCCUACGGGAGGCAGCAGUGGGGAAUUUUUCGCAAUGGGCGCAAGCCUGACGAAGCAACGCCGCGUGGAGGAUGAAGGUCUUCGGAUUGUAAACUCCUGUCGACCGGGACGAAUGCACCCGACCUAAUACGUCGGAGUGUUGACGGUACCGGUGGAGGAAGCCACGGCUAACUCUGUGCCAGCAGCCGCGGUAAUACAGAGGUGGCAAGCGUUGUUCGGAAUUACUGGGCGUAAAGGGCGCGUAGGCGGCCUUGUAAGUCUCGUGUGAAAGCCCUCGGCUUAACUGAGGAUCUGCACGGGAUACUGCGAGGCUUGAGUUCGGGAGAGGAAAGCGGAAUUCCGGGUGUAGCGGUGAAAUGCGUAGAUAUCCGGAGGAACACCAGUGGCGAAGGCGGCUUUCUGG
rnacentral:rRNA from 1 species